rnacentral:ncRNA from 1 species
AGACAACUCUCUCUAAGGAACUCAGCAAAAUAGCCCUGCAACUUCCAGAGAGGGGGUGCCUCCUCACAAAAGGGGUCACAGUGACCAGGCCUAGGCAACUGUUUACCAAAAACACAGGUCUCCGCAAAGUCUUUUUAAAGUUGAGGUCUCCAUAAAGUCGUAAUACCAUGUAUGGGGGCUGAUGCCUGCCCAGUGUUGGAAGGUCAAGGAAGUUGGUAACCUGAUGACAGGGGAGCCGACGAUCGAAUCCCCGGUGAACAGCGGCCGUAACUAUAACGGUCCUAAGGUAGUAAAAUUCUUUUUUGGACAAGUUUCAACCCGUAUGAAAGGGGUAAUAACCUGGGCAUUGUCGCGGAGAAAGGCU